CCGCAAUGGGCGAAAACCUGACGGAGCAACGCCGCGUGGGGACGAGGCCUUCGGGUCGUAAACCCCUGUCAGGGGGAAAGAAGGGCGUCGGCGUGAAUAGCGCCGACGUCUGACGGUACUCUCAAAGGAGCCACGGCCAACUCCGUGCCAGCAGCCGCGGUAAUACGGAGGUGGCAAGCGUUGUUCGGAAUUACUGGGCGUAAAGGGCGCGUAGGCGGGGAGGUAAGUCGGGUGUGAAAUCCCUCGGCCCAACCGAGGAACUGCGCCCGAGACUGCCUCUCUUGAGUCCCGGAGAGGAAGGUGGAAUUCCCGGUGUAGCGGUGAAAUGUGUAGAGAUCGGGAGGAACACCGGUGGCGAAGGCGGCCUUCUGGACGGUGACUGACGCUGAGGCGCGAAAGCGUGGGGAGCAAACGGGAUUAGAUACCCCGGUAGUCCACGCUGUAAACUAUGGGUGCUAGGUGUGGGGGGUAUCGACCCCUCCCGUGCCGAAGCUAACGCAUUAAGCACCCCGCCUGGGGAGUACGGCCGCAAGGUUG
rnacentral:rRNA from 1 species